rnacentral:rRNA from 1 species
UACGUAGGGUGCGAGCGUUGUCCGGAAUUAUUGGGCGUAAAGAGCUCGUAGGCGGUCUGUCGCGUCGGUCGUGAAAACUUGGGGCUUAACCCUGAGCUUGCGGUCGAUACGGGCAUGACUGGAGUUCGGCAGGGGAGACUGGAAUUCCUGGUGUAGAGGUGAAAUUCGUAGAUAUCGGGAGGAACACCGGUGGCGAAGGCGGCGACCUGGGUCGACACUGACGCUGAGGCGCGAAAGCGUGGGGAGCAAACAGG